GGGUAGGUAGCGAAGUGGUUAAACGCAACAGACUGUAAAUCUGUCGACUUCGGUCUUCGCAGGUUCGAAUCCUGCCCUGCCCA
rnacentral:tRNA from 2 species